UUCCACUUUGAUGAAACAGUUUGUGGUUUCAACUUUGUUUCAUUCGUUUUUUAAAUUAUUAAUUAAAUCGUAUCGUAACAUAACGUAACUUAUUAUAAUGUAUCGGUUCGUAACUUAUUAUAAUGUAUCGUAUCGUAAAGUUAUGAUAUGUACCUUAUGGUAUAGCGUCGUUUCAUAUUUAACCAUUAAUUAAACUGACUGUGAAUGAAGGAGCGGGGGAGGGGAGGGG